UCCGCCAGGAGCACCGCUGGGUAGCCAAGUACGGACGGGAUAAGCGCUGAAAGCAUCUAAGCGUGAAGCCCCCCUCAAGAUGAGAUUUCCCAGUACGUAAGACCCCUGGAAGACGACCAGGUUGAUAGGUUCGAGGUGGAAGUGCAGCAAUGCAUGCAGCUGACGAAUACUAAUCGGUCGAGGGCUUAUCCUG
rnacentral:rRNA from 1 species